ACUAAAAUAAUGUAAAAUAGUUUUAAAUUUAAGGAACUGAAAUGACUUUAAGCUAAAGGAGUUUCCUUAAGGAAUUACAAGAACUUCUCAUAGAUAAUGAAAAAAAAAACUGUAUAUUUAUGGAUGCUAAGGAUGGUAAGUCUCCAUAUCUACUCUUUUGUAUACUCAACAAGAGUGACACUGGAAGGGUCCAGAGCCCUGUGAUUAAUCUUCCAAAAUCAAAACAGAAACAAAACAAAUCUAUACUUUUGAGUAUAGCAUAAGAAUGCAAAGCUUCUUGAAAGGCUCACUUUAAAGCCAUCUCUGUGGCCUCAUUUCAUGAUCUGGGUCUCCCCAGCUCCUUCGCUACCCUUCAAAAAGUUCAAGCAUCUAUUCAAAAUUUCCUCAGCGUAAGUCAAAAAAGGAAGCACUAAGAAAAACUCUACUGUAAGAUACACUCUAAAUGAAAAUCCAAGGAUACAAUGGUCUCAGCUGCAUGUAACCAAUAUUUAAAAAUAUAUAUAUACACAUAUGUGUAUAUAUAUAUAUGUUUGUUUGUAUAUAUAUGUGUGUAUAUAUAUAUAUGUUUGUUUGCUUUCAGAAAUGUAUAACAGAAGUAUCAAGAAGUCCCAUCACCAUUUCUGCUGGGAUUAUUGGAAUUCAGAAGUCUGCCACUGUAUCCAUAAACUGCUCCAAAUACUUAAACAAAUUAGAGAUGUUGGCUACAUUUUGAUCAAAGAAUGCAUGCUACAGAGAAUAAACAAAGCCAUUACUUGUUUUGGACAUGGAACAAGAGACUACAGAUGUAAGUAGACUAUUCUGCUGUAUAGUCCAGAAGACAAACCUGGUCAUCCACAACUUCCCUUAUUCAUUCAGGUUAAUUUUUCAUUAAGUAGAACUCUUACUAUGGCAAGUACAUUAAAUAUUCCAUACAAACUAGCUUUUUCCAGUAACUUGUUGAUUAACUAACACUCAACUACAGUACCCAAUUCUCAUACGAUAUAUUACAAAACCGUUAUUUAAAACGCAAUUCCCAUUUUAAACCACAUUCUAUUGGGUUCUUGUGGGAGUAUUUGACUGAAAAAAAGUCAGUGAUGGGACAGCUAAUUUAUUAAAUGCUGGACAGCUAAGGCUAUGACUACAUAAAUAAGUUAUCAGGAGCUAAACUAGAAAGGCAGUCUUGAAGGAGUCAGAAAUCCUACGUUAACAGCCUACAGUAACACUUUUACUCCUUCCUCAAUGCCAAGCAGCUUUUAAGGUAUGCUAUUAUGCACUUUAUUUAAUAUGCCAUUUGUUCUUACAGUUAUAAUGAAAACAAAGGUGUUUUCUGACAUGGAGAUAUUUCUCUUAAGCCCCCGCAGUAAGAGAAUUAAGGAAAGCUGCUGGGAGAAAAUGCCUGACUUCCAAAACAUCCAAGGUCUAAUCUACUGCUAUAUGACAGGAACAAGAGAUGGUGGAACCGGUAACUGGGAGGCAUCAAGUUUCAGGAAGUCUCCUAACAACUCUAUAUGAUCUUUACCCCAUUGUUAUACUUCCCUCAAAAAUAAAAUAAAAUAAAAUAA